AACUCUUUUGGAGAUGUCCCAAGGCCUAACCUGCACCUCUUCACAGCAUAGGCAUUUUCCCCCAAUAAACUACUUAUUCUCCCAACUUCAUCUCAGUGUCAGCUUCCUAGAAGACCCAAACAACGUGGAUGGCCUUCAAAGAAAAAUGGAGGCUGCACAUGUUCUUCGGAAAAAGAUCUAAAAGCAUCACCUUUUGCUUUGUCUGCUGGUGCUUAAGGCUUGGAGAAACUCGAGGGAAGGUACAUGAUGUGUUGACCUUCACUUAAUGUGGUUGAAUAUGUCAUCCCACUGCCUUUGGCCUUCAUAGCUUCUGGCCCAGGAAAGGGAAGAAUUACAUGAAGACACAUGGAGAGGGGAGCCAAGGGGAGAGGUUCAGAAGAAACAAAGCCUGCUGAUAUCUUGAUCUUGGGGUCUAACCUCCAGAACGGUGAUGAAAUGUCUGUUAUUUAAGCCAUUCGGUCUGUGGUAUUGGUGACAACAGUCUAAGCAGACUAAUGCAAGCCCUGACACAGACUUUAUGCAAUUUAAUUCUCUUUUCUCAGUCAUGAUUUUCUCCUCUGUAAUAAGCUCUAAUUAUCAGUGAUGAAAAUUAAAUGUGUAAAUGUGUACAUUAUUGUUUAAAGACAAGUAAAGAAAACCAACACCCUUGUUUUUGUUUAACGGAUCUACCUAUUUUUAGGAAAUGUUUAAGCAGAUGUGGAUUUUUUUUUUAACACAAUAAAAUACUAUCCUUUUCUCAGCACAGGAUUCAAAUCUUACAGCUAUGCUGCUGUUGAAUUUGGUG
rnacentral:lncRNA from 1 species